UGGAAGUCAACUACAAGGAAGGCUGAUGGGGCAGGAUCUCAGGGCUGGUGAGGGAUGUAGCUCAGCAGCACAGCACCUGCCUGCUAUUGCUAGAUUUCCUAGCUGUAUCCCUCAGAUGUUGCAGGCCUGAAAGAGAAGACAUUGGCUUAUUCAUCAUUUUAUGGCCCAAAGUUUUUAACUGCAUGAAAAAUGCUGAUUGCAGUGGAGAAUGAAGAGAAUACAGCCACAGAGCCAAGGUAGAAAUGGGGAGAAGAAAUGAGUUGUUAGAAAAUGUAAGAUGACCUAAUGAUUUCCUGCAAAUUAAAGAAGAAAAAAAUGUUCCAACUUAAAU